CCGGAGCAGAGAGAAGAGGGGAGACAUUUCGUCAGAGCUGCAAGAUUUAGCCCGUUUCUUGCAAAUAGUUAAUUAAAAGUUCUAAAAAAUCAGCUCUACAGGUGUUCACCACUCCAGUACCCAAUUAGGGUGACAAAUUCCCUGUUUUCCAGUGAAACAAGCUGGUUUUGGUCAGGUUUUUUUCCUUUUCUGAACUUUAGUCUCUCUUGCUGCUCGUGUUACAACCGAGUGUGAGCGAACCAGACAUCAGAUGGCGAGCCAACCCGAGGAUAUUGUGCCUGUUAAGCUAACUUGAACCUGUUCCUCCUGUACGGUAGGAUCUGGAUCGAAUUGAGUUUUUGGAGUAAUUGAGUUGUUUUUGGAGUUGAAUGGAACAUUUUUGAUGUAUAUAUACCUGAUCUGAAAGAAAAAAAGGAACAUUUAUUUUGAAGAGAAAGAGGAUCUUAUUUUUCCAACUGUUCCUACAUAUUUUUUUGCCUCAGAACAUUUAAGGUCACAAUUUUUCUAAGAACAUUGAGUGAUUCUGAAUAGACUGAGUCAAGGAUCUUAUUUUUUUUUAUUUUGUAUAUUGGUCUAAAGCAGUGGUUCUCAAACUGUGGUACGCGUACCACUGGUGGUACGUGAAGCAGCACGAGGUGGUACGCCAGAUAAUCUCGGAAAAGUAAAAAUAUUUAUAUGCACCGAAAAAAUUAAUAAUUUAAUAAUAAUAAAUAAAUAAAAAUAUGAUACAAAA